rnacentral:piRNA from 1 species
UCAAAUUGCUCCUAGAAAUAA